GCGGAAUAGCUCCGGGAAACUGGAAUUAAUACCGCAUACGCCCUACGGGGGAAAGAUUUAUCGGGGAAGGAUUGGCCCGCGUUGGAUUAGCUAGUUGGUGGGGUAAAGGCCUACCAAGGCGACGAUCCAUAGCUGGUCUGAGAGGAUGAUCAGCCACAUUGGGACUGAGACACGGCCCAAACUCCUACGGGAGGCAGCAGUGGGGAAUAUUGGACAAUGGGCGCAAGCCUGAUCCAGCCAUGCCGCGUGAGUGAUGAAGGCCUUAGGGUUGUAAAGCUCUUUCACCGAUGAAGAUAAUGACGGUAGUCGGAGAAGAAGCCCCGGCUAACUUCGUGCCAGCAGCCGCGGUAAUACGAAGGGGGCUAGCGUUGUUCGGAAUUACUGGGCGUAAAGCGCACGUAGGCGGAUAUUUAAGUCAGGGGUGAAAUCCCGCAGCUCAACUGCGGAACUGCCUUUGAUACUGGGUAUCUUGAGUAUGGAAGAGGUAAGUGGAAUUCCGAGUGUAGAGGUGAAAUUCGUAGAUAUUCGGAGGAACACCAGUGGCGAAGGCGGCUU
rnacentral:rRNA from 1 species